AUUGAACGCUGGCGGCAUGCUUUACACAUGCAAGUCGAACGGCCGCGCGGGCUUCGGCCUGGCGUCGCGUGGCGAACGGGCGGGUAAUUCAUCGGAACGUGCCCAGCCGUUGGGGCUAGCUCGGCGUCAGGAGGAUUAAUCCAGUAUCCGAUAUGAGGGUGAAAGCGAGGGAUCUAUGGACCUCGCCCUAUUUGCUGGGCCGAUGACAUAUUAGCUCGUUGGUGUGGUAAGGGCGUACGAAGGCGACGAUCCGUAGCCGGUCUGAGAGGGCGACCGGCCACACUGGAACUGAGACACGGCCCAGACUCCUACGGGAGGCAGCAGUGGGGAAUUUUGCACAAUGGGCGAAAGCCUGACGCAGCAACGCCGCGUGAGUGAUGAAGGCCUUCGGGUUGUAAAGCACUGUUGUCGGGAACGAAAAGAACUGUAAGAAAACAUCGGUGCGAUGACGGUACCCACAGAAUAAGCACCGGCUAACUACGUG
rnacentral:rRNA from 1 species